rnacentral:misc_RNA from 1 species
UUAAGUUCAGCGGGUAUCCCUACCCGAUCCGAGGUCAACCUGUGGUGGGGUUUAACGGCGCGCCCGGUCGUCCUCGUCAGCGAUCCUGAUGAAACCACAACGCUGAGAUUCGAACCGUCCAGCCGACAAAUUAGAGGCGCGGGGGGUCCCCGCCGCCCAAUACCGAGCCAGGCUCGAGUGGUGUAAUGACGCUCGAACGG